ACACACAGACAGACAGAGAGACAGAGAGACAGGCACACAGACAGACAGACAGACAAUAAAGGGGGAUUUGUGUGUCGGUUCUGACGCUGAGAGCCAAUGCAAGGGGGUCGACUGCAAGAGCAACAUUAACACUCUGGUACCUAACAGUAAGCACCCAGAUAUUAUAAACAUUCACUCACUACAGAACUAUCUCACCUAUUCUCCAGCCAAAUGUAGUCUGGCCAUCAUUCUUCUCAUGCUAAUAUAGCCAGAGAAAAGUACCAAACCACCUGUUAAAGGCACCACAAUACAGGAAGUGACAUCUGCUCUGUUAGAACCUUUCUGCCCAUGGCUAUAGUUGAUUCUGAUAUGAAGUGACUGACUCCGAUGUGCAUGUCUAUCUAUUCUGCCGGUCUUAAUAUUUAUUGGCUGCUUUGCUUCUGAGUAGAUAACCUUUAACAGCAAGCUGUUUUAUUUCUACAUUAUGCUUUGGAUUGAUGAAUUCAUUCCAUCAGGGGUGUGGAAGACUGAUGGAUAUGCUAAUAUGUAACUCUAUUACAGUAAAUCUUAAGAUCUGACAAAAUUAUCAUUAGGACUGACGGUAAGAUCAUACUGUUUUUUUCAUUUUUAUGUUAAAAAAGAACUGAAAUUAAAUUAAUGUAAAACAAGGCAGGGUGAUUAUUUUCUCCCAAAAUAUCAGGCAAUGUUAGUUUAUUUAUUGAAAAAUAACAAUACCAUAAUAAUAAUAAUAUGGAAAUUAAAUAAAAAAAAAAAAUAGGAUUUGCACCUUUGUAGUUUAAAUAUUGGUGUCAUUCAAUCCCCUUUGACAGACAAAGUAGUAGUGUAGUCCUUUACUGUAAACAGGGGUUGGACAGCAUGAAGCAGCACUUUAAGCCAUGCUUCUCCUCUUUCAAAUUCAUAAAAACAAAAACAAAAACAAAAAAUAAUAAGUUUCUAUUCUAUAAAAAAAAAAUCUAUUCAAUAAAACAACCUGUACUAAGAUACCAGAAACAUACAUAACAACAAUAUACUGCAAUAAAUCCUGUUGCUACAAUAUUUAUCAUCAACAGCGCUUGAAAGGACAAGGAGAAACUACUAAAAAACAUUGGCUGUGUCAGUCAGAAGUCUAAAACGAUUCCUAAGUUCUUUGUCCUGAAAUAUUUUACACUAAACAAGAAUAAAAGCAUAGCUGAGGUCUGGAUUCCUCCAUCACUAUGGCCUAAUCGCAGUCUGUCAGGCAUGAACCCCGCUCUCCUGGGUCCCCAACCUGCCUCCUUACCAGGACUCUUCUACUUCCUCACCUUACUUCCUGCUUUGCUACCGUCAUAACUACUACAGCCACUAGAGGGCACCGUCACUAGAAAUGUUAAAUGAGUCUAAUUGCUGCCUGAAAAAAUGACUUAUGUGGGCGUUUUUCAGGAGAGGGCAGUGUCGCAGUAAUACAUCCUGAACAGAGUUCUGGGAAAUCUUAAGCAUCGUAGGGACUUUAAAGUUUUGGUAAAGAAUCAGUAGUCUGUUUGGUUGUUUUGCAUGUUUUCAAACCUACCCUCUCCUUUUUCUUACUUCUUUAAUAGAAACAAGCUUUAAGGUUUAUUGUGUUUUUAUUAUGUUUAACUCUUUUAUGGUGUGUUAGGACUGGCUGAUUGCAGUCUGUACCACCAAGAAGGUUGUAACAAACAUGCACUCGUCUGCCAAAUGAAUGUCAUAUUAUCUUCAGGAUAUAGCAUGAAUGUGAACUUUCAACAUCAUCAUAUUAGAGUGUUUUAACUGUAUGUACUCUUUUCUGCUAAACAUAUUAUAGGCUACAAUCUCAGUGACAUAUUGACAUAUCCCUAAAAUGGCAAGAUUAGUAAAAACUUUGAUGGCAAAUAUUGUUCAAAGGCAACAUAGUUAUGAGAUGUAUAAGGUAUUAUAUAUUCAGCAGAUGCUGUGUUUGUCAGUGUAGCGUAAGGCCGAACAUAAACAGGUACUCAACUUAUUUUUAAAAACACCUUUUUGUCAUUCAUGUGAAUUGUAUUACUACAUAAACUAAUAAAACAUGUAAUACAAAACU